GCGGCUGUAGCUUAAGGGCAGAGCUUAAGAGUGUGGAUCUUAAGAUGGCGAUUCAAGCUCGCCCAGCCGUA
rnacentral:tRNA from 1 species